CCUCAGGGAGCAGUGCUCAGAUGAGCAGGCAGGCCCCACAUCCCCCACCCCAUGACGCUCUGUUCCACUUUGCAGGCUUCUGCAUUGGCCAGUCCCCACUGCUUUCUGGUGAGAUGUCCGAGUUGAAGUGAGUGUUGAAUGCCACACAGCUGAUGGAGCUCACUGCCUUGCACAUGUUGUAAAACACCUCCUGGUUACAAGGGUCAGCUGUGGAGACACAGCUUGAUGGGAGGGACUGGGUCACGAGACACCCCUGGCAAGGACCAGCUGGCAGAACAGGCUGGACACUCUCCUUCAGCCUCCCCAGCAGCCCUACCUGUGCUGUCAUCUGUGCUGAUGAUCUCCGUGACCCAGAACAAGUGGCAUCCCAGGAGCCUGGGAGGGGCUGGCAGAGACUUACUGGUUCCAGCAAAAGCCCAUGUGGAUGCAGCAAUGCUGCCUGCUGGUCCUUGGCUGUAAUUACAAACAGGUACUUGAGGUCCCCAUGCAUCUUGCAGCUCUCAGAGAGUGUGUUCCAGCUGCUCAUGGUAGGCACUUUUAGUCACUGAACGUGCUUCAGGAAUGGCCAAGCUUGAUUAAGCCAGGCGUCUUGCUGUGAGACCCUCCACCCAACUGAGGACCCUCUUCCUUGUUCCCCCUGGCAGUUUCACCUUCCAGUUCUGGUUCUAGAGACACGAUGGCCCCUCUUGGGCCCCUGGGAGAAUGUGCUCAGGUGACACACUGUCGACAGGGCCCAUUUCCAAGCCAUUCUUCCAUUUCCCACUGUUUGAGGGGCUGAGGCCGGUGAUCAGCACAGGGCCACCCAGGGCCAGCUGUCUGCACCUAAACAUCAUGCUGGUCUGGAUGUCUCAGGGCCAGAACUCUCCAGGUGAGAUGGCCUGGUCCUCAGCACCUGGCCUCCGUGCUCCUUUUUCCUCUGUUCAAUCCUGGCCCCAAUGCCUCCCGCAACUCUCAGGUCACCAUUGGAGAAGAUGCUCAGGAAGAACAAGAAGCUGCAGUCAACCCUGCUGAAGGUGGCAUAUGGGUCCAGGCUCUUGAGCUGGUCUUCGACAUGGUACAUGUGGAUGCAGGCUUUGAGCAGUGUGAGUAGCUCUUUCCGGAAGGAGGGGAAAACGGUGUUUCCAGGGUCCUACACCCUAGAACGACCCAUCUAGCACAGAAAACAGUUUGCAACGUGCUAUCAUGUGUGAUUUUAAUUUUCAACUUUAGGCUUUCAUUUUCAAUUUCCACAAUAAACACAUAAGGUGGGGUUCUGAUUUCAACACACACACAUUCUCUCUCUCUCCCUCUCUCUUAGAAUCUUCCAGUGCGUUCACACUGAAAGCCAAAGUCCUCCCAGAAUCUUGUGAGAACCUAAAUGAUCUGAAUAGUUUGUCAUUGAUUUUGGGGAUCUGGGAAAAUCUCUGCACAUUUCUGGAGACCGCUGUUAUGCCAAUUUUAAUAAAUCUGUUGUGCUUCAAUUCAGAAGUGUGUGAAGGGAGUUGUGGAGGAAUUGGCAUUUGGGUUAGAAAUUCCAGGAACACCAGAGACAGAUGACACCUGUUUUCUGCUUCAUAAUGUCAAGUUUUACGAUGGCUAAAACCUAAUUCUACAAGAAAAUUAGACUGAAAAACUUUAUAGGCAAAAAUUAUCUUAUUAAAUAGGAAAAUCUAAGUAUUUUAUUUUAAAAUUUCCUUUUUCUUAGUAGGACCUAAUCAUAGAAAUGUAAACUCUAUAUGCCAACAGCCUCUACUGUAGGAUGGUUUAUUGUAUGUACUCAUUUUACUGAUUUCUUACAAAAACUUUUUCCGUAAGGGAAAUUAGAAUAUUGUUCAACAUAUAUUGAAUUCACAAUUAUUACUUUAUUUCUCACUUAGUAUUUUAUGAUUCUGUCUUCUUUAAUAUGAAGAUUACUAUGACUGUGUUUUCACUUUCUGAAUUAUCAUGUGUCACAUUUGUCUGUAAUUUCCUUUCAGAAGUUGUAAAAUAGCAUGCUCAAAUGUAUAUAUUAUGUAUAAAUUAUAUAAUUUAUAAUUUAUUAAAAUAUUUGGCUUGUAUGUUUAAUUGACUCUAGGCACAAUGUUACUAUUAGCAUCUUCUUCCAGUUUUCCCAACUUUUAUUUGACUAAUAGUACAAUUUAUUUCCAAUUUUUAUUUUAUAUGUCAAUGUUUUAUACUGUAUUUACAAUAUUUAUAUUGUUACCAUAUUUAGAAAUGUAAGACUUUUCAAUUAAAAGCUAGAUUACAGCCUUAUCGUUUUGUGUAAGAAAAGCAGCAAUGCAUCAGUAGCAUAAUUUAAAACUUUCUCUAGUAUUACUUAAAUGCUUAUUCCUUAAAACUUUCUCAUCACAGCUCUUUGUAUUAAUUAUAAUGUGUUUUCUCUGAAAUGUUGUUGCCCUAACUGUAUCCAAAUAAUUCAAAAUUCAUACUUUUCAUAGAUUCACAGGAAGAGUUAAAAAUUGUAGUUACCUGGGAUUCUUUUUCAUUUGGACACUAUGUUUAUUCAGGAUUUUAUGGAUUAAAGUUUCUCUUAAUUAUGUUUUAUAAUUUUAUGUUUCUGUAUUUUUUAGAGUAGGCUGUCUCACAUCAGUUAAUUGUGUUUUUACUUUCUACCUAUUUAUUAUGAUUUUGAAUUUCAUUAUUCAAAUAAGAAUUUGGGGGUUAAUGUUUAUUUUAACUUUGUUUUGCAAUUUUACAUUUCUGUGUUUCAUGUUUUAGGGUAGGGCACCUUAUAUUAGUUUAUUGUUUUAAGUUUUAAUUUGUAUAAUAUAAUAUUGUAUAACAAUAUUCAACUCUGUAUGCAUUAAGACAGUGUGGGGCAGAAGUCAAAUAUGAACCAUCCCUAUGUCUUUUGUUAAUACAAUGAUUUAACUGUUUGUUUGCCUGUAUAAAUAUUGCCCCUAUUUUGUUUAUGACUUUUAUAUUUUCUUCUUAUUUGAUGGCCAAUAAUUUAUUCUGUCUAAGUGAGUAAUCAUGGAAAUUGUCUUAAUUUCAACAUCUAUUGUUUAUAUUAUCUUAGUGUGAAGGAAAGAUUUAUGUGAUUUGAAGAUAA
rnacentral:lncRNA from 1 species